UCCCUGGUGGCUCAGACGAUGAAGCAUCUGCCUACAAUGCAGGAGGCCUGGGUUCGAUUCCUGGGUCGGGAA
rnacentral:tRNA from 1 species